GGGAAUCUACCUUUUGCUACGGAAUAACUCAGGGAAACUUGUGCUAAUACCGUAUGUGCCCUUCGGGGGAAAGAUUUAUCGGCAAGAGAUGAGCCCGCGUUGGAUUAGCUAGUUGGUGGGGUAAAGGCCUACCAAGGCGACGAUCCAUAGCUGGUCUGAGAGGAUGAUCAGCCACACUGGGACUGAGACACGGCCCAGACUCCUACGGGAGGCAGCAGUGGGGAAUAUUGGACAAUGGGCGCAAGCCUGAUCCAGCCAUGCCGCGUGAGUGAUGACGGUCUUAGGAUUGUAAAGCUCUUUCACCGGUGAAGAUAAUGACGGUAACCGGAGAAGAAGCCCCGGCUAACUUCGUGCCAGCAGCCGCGGUAAUACGAAGGGGGCUAGCGUUGUUCGGAUUUACUGGGCGUAAAGCGCACGUAGGCGGACUUUUAAGUCAGGGGUGAAAUCCCAGAGCUCAACUCUGGAACUGCCUUUGAUACUGGAAGUCUUGAGUAUGGUAGAGGUGAGUGGAAUUCCGAGU
rnacentral:rRNA from 1 species